GGACUCAUGGGGAAACACAAGGCCCAUGGCCGGCUGGAAACAGCUUCGAAGCUGGAGCAGCCACAGAUCCAUGCGGGCCCAGUGCCAGCGCCCACAGUGCCAGCACAGAGCCCUGACCCAGCCAGAGCCAGGUCAGGCCCAGCCCUGGGCAAAUAUGUGACCGGGUCCUCCCAGGGUCCUGAGAAGGGACAGGCCAGUGCAGAGGGCAGGUCAGCUUCUGCAGAGCAGGCCACACCUGACCCAGGCCCCGACCCAGAACCUGCCCAGCCGCGCCUGGCUAGGAUCUGCCCUCCGGACGGCUCCGCCCAUCAGGUACGGGCACUAGGGGAGGGGCACGGUCCAGGUCCGUGGUGUGUGCACUGGGUGUGGCAUCAGAGCUCCAAAGGCUCCACCAAGCCAGGCUGGGAGGGCUCCCUGCCAUCGCCAGCCAUCUGGCCAGCUGGCCACCACACAGGCCUCCCUCCUGUGCUGGGCGACAGGUGCGAGCCCCACCCAGCAGUUCAGGGCAAGGGCACGGCUUCCCGGUACUCUCUGGAGCACUAUCGAGGGACCGCGAUGAGGCCCUGCUGCUCUCCUGGAGCAAGAGGCCACAACCGGAGAAGAGGGCGACGCGAUGUCGGUCUGCUUUCCCCAGGGGAGCGCGGCGGGGACCGAGAGUGCUAACCCUGGAGCCGGUGAGACCGCGGGCCGCCUCUCGAUCGCGGUGCUGGAGCAGAAGCCGCAAGAGGAGACGCUGCUCCAGCAGCACUGGGCCGCGCUGCUGCGCCUGCGCAAGACGGCGCGGGAGGAAAAGGCCCGAGCGGAGCGCGCGCUGCAGGAGCACCAGCUAGGGUGUCUGGAGCACAGAGGCCACGGAACCACAGGGGCUGCCUUGGGGGAGAGGGCACCGCAGGCCCUCAGCAGGCUGGAGGAGGAGCGGGUGCAGAGGGAAAUGCCGGGCCUGCAGGACAUGCAUUGGCCAGUGCUCCAGGGCGGACAGCAGCUGCCGCAGCAGCAGGAGGCCACUCUCACCGCGCAGAGGACACCAACACCACGGCUGCAGAGUCCUGGCCCCCAAGUCAAGGCUGCAGGGGAAGGGGCCUCAGAGGCAGGCCAGCAGCUGGAAGGAGCCCUGUGCCCCCCAAAACCACACAGGUCUUGCAGCCCUGUCAGCCCACGAGUGCAGAGAGGCUCCAAGAGUGCAGAGGUCACACACCUUGCCUGUGACCAGUGGGAGGAGACAACCAAGACAACUGAAGAUGCCACCAGCCACCAGCAGCCUCCGAGGCCAGCUUCAGGAGAGGACAUAGCAGGGCCCAGCAGCCCACUGGAGGAGGAAGGCAGUCAUAUAGACCAAGAGCCUUGCAAGCCUUGGCCGGGAUAUCUGCACUCAGACUCGCUGAACUCUGGACAGCUGUUGGACUCUGCCUGUCCGGCCCUCGAGGCAGAGCAGGACACCCCUGCAGCUCAGCUUGGGGUGCAGGAGGUGCUGGAGCUGCUCACAGGGGACACCCAGACCCAGGCCAGAGACUGCUGGGCCAGGAAGAGGCCCCCAGCUCCGCAGGAUGGUUGUGCCCACGGCUUCCAGGGGCACGGCCUGCAAUGCCUGGGGGCAGACCGUCCAUGCUGUCUGCAGGAAGCAAGUAUGACUGCAGAAAGCACAUGCCCAGCUGGACUAGAUGUUGCUGGGAGCCCGGAGGGGAAGCCCCUGGAAAAGCCUCCCAGAGAGCAGAGGACGGAGGCAUUUCAGAGGGACAGCAGCAACCCAGUGGCCGUUUCCCCAGCUCCUGUGACCCUGGAGGAGAAGGCAGUACCCCCCAUCCAGCCCAGGCCUGCUACGUCCGUGCACCUGGGCUCUGAGCUUGCACUCUCCUGGGGGUCUUCAGGGUCCCCAGCAUCGUCCCCUCUGUCCUCACCAGGCUCUGGGAAUGGCCUGUCACACUCUUCCCUCCAGGAGUUUCAGAAAGCCAUAGCCACCCUGGCCCAGCUUUCCAACAGCUCCGAAUCCCUAUCUGACCUGGAGGCUGAGGGUAGCCUGGACACAGACCCCAGCUGGUCUGAGGAGCUGUGUGCUCACAAGGACUUUGGCCCACCCUCAUCUUUGGAGCUCCACCAGGGUGACCCUCAACCAGGUGCUGUGCCUGCAGGUGCCGGGCCGGUGACCUGGCAGAGGCCAGAGCGUGACCAGGCUGCUCGCCUGCCUGGCCCUCCUGGGAAGGUGACUGUGGCAGAAGCCUCGGACCCAGAGUGGAGUUGCCCACAGGCAGGCCGGCCACCGCCUCCCCAAGACAUCCAUUCUCCCAGUCCUGGGUCAGAGCUGUCAGAGACCUCCAGCCAAAUCUGGAUCGAGGACAAUGAGGAGAACCUCCGAGAUCCUGGCACAGGGGCCCAGCCCAGCUCAGGGAGCUCCUCGACACUUGGCUCUUCCAGCUGGGAGCACAGUGUGGUUCUGCCCACCUUGGUCCAGGGGGAGGGACAGGAACCUUCCAGAGCCAGCUGGAGCCUGAACGGUGGGUCAAACACAGAGAGCCCCCAGCAGGUGUCCUCCAAGGCACCAUCUACCAGUGACCUAGACCUGUAGGUCUAGGGAUCGACAGGUCCUUUUCUUCAGGGACCUCUGCAUCUGAAGGGGCUCAUUGCCAGGAGAAGCCCUGGGAUGCUGGCCUGAGCCUGUCUUCUGGAAGGAGACCCCCACAGGCCUCUGCAGGGCCUGAGGUCCUCUGUGGGCUUGCACUCUCUGUAGCUGAGGGCCAGGCAUCUGGGUGUGCAGGGAACGAAGCGCCCCAAGUCUCAGAGCAAGCUGCACCCUCUCACGGUGCUGGCUUCCCGACUGGGAGCCUGUCCCCUGUGGACGAGGAGUGGCUUUACAGCAGUGGGGCCCUCCUGCAUGGCCUCUCCUGGGACACCCACCUCCCUCCACCACUGCCCACUGCCCACACAGACCGUAAGGAGCAAGAGGCCCAGCCCUGCUCCGAAGACUUCCCGUCCCCGCCCAAGAGGCCUUGGUUCCCCAAGGCUCCCUGAGCCCCCUGGAGGAGGAUGCCUUUGUUACCACUGAGGACUUGCCCUCCUUGUCUGAGGAGGUCCCACGACAGGCACUGUCAUUGAGUCUCCAGGACUUGGGGCUCUGCCUGAGGACACGCCGACCAUGGAGAGACCCUGAGGGUGAACUGGGCAGGUCAGGGUCCAUGGUGGAAAGUCAGGCUGUGGAUUGUCAAUGGUCUGAACACGUCACCUGGCCAGAGUCUCCCUUGGGUAAAGGGGCAGGCAGUGUCCCCAGGAAGCUCCCGAGGGCACCAGCACAGCCUCUGUUCCUUUCCCAAGUGGCCCAAGUUGCAGAAGAGUGUCUGUCUGGGUUGUGGGGGGCUGAUGACCCAGAGGCCUUGGGCAGGCGCAUCAGGCCCCAGGAAGGGCUGCUGUGCUCUGAGAGUGCAGGGUGCCAGGGAGGCUGGGAUACCCUUGCAGCCUGUCUGUCAGACCUGAUGCCUUUGGUGGUCCACGGUCAGGCAGGGUUUCCCGGGCACACUAUCGAGGAAUGUAUGGAAGGCCUGAGCUGCUGGGCAGAGGACUCACUGUGCAGAGAGCCACUCCCAAAGGAACACUUGGCCACUGGCCACCAGCCACUAGGCUCCUGCUCUAAUCUCCUGGGCACAGAGAGGGACAAUGCGGUGGCCCUGGUGUUCACUCAGCUUACCAGGAGGAUCCUGCUGGACUCCAUGGCUGUGCUGGCCCCUGGAGACAGCCUCUAGACAGUGUGAUGUCAGUGUGUGUGUGAGUGUGGGUGUGUGUGUGCACAUGCACAUGCACAUGCAAGAGCCUCUGGAAGCCAGCCCUUCCAUCCUGGGGUCGACAGGUCAGGCUGCAUGGCCAUUGCGGCCAGCUGUACAGGAAGUCACCUGAUGGCACCCGCUGUCUGCAGUUCUCUGCACGGAGGCUGUGUAGCUUCCAGAUUCUUGAGGCCCCUGACCCAAGUCAGGAACCAUCGGGGUGGAGGAUGCACAGGCAGCAGGGGGCCACCUCUCAGGGCGGGGUGAGGGGAAGAGGGAGCUGACAUUGCAGAGUCAGGGCGAGAAGAGCCAAGGAGCUGUAUGGACAGAGGACUGGAAGAGGUGGCAGCUUGGGGGCCAAAGGUCAUUUCAGCCCUGAUCAGCAAAGCCUGGGGCUUGUCCAGUUAGAUGGGGUCACCUCCAGUGCUGUGGACCCCCAAUGAGCUUGCUGGGUCUCCUGGGCCUUCCCUCUUCUUGGGAUCCCCUGAGGCUACCCUGCCUGCUUCAUGUCCCAGUGGGCUCCACAUCAGAUGACCCUGAGUGGUUCUUUGAGGAGGUGGCCCAGGACACUGUCAUGUGUCCUCUUUUCACAGAGGAGCCCGUCUUUCUCAGGACAGAUGUCCAGCAGGAAGCCUGUGCUGUGGAUUCCAGCACACAGGGCCUCCUGCAUAGAGAGAAGCCAUGGGGACACCCAGGAGCCGUGAUCCUGAAGGUCCCCCCCCCCAAGCCUCAGAUGGCCUCCGCUGUUGUCCAGGGCAGACAGGAUGGGCCAGUCACAUUGCUGGGCUUCCUGGGAUGGGCAGAUCAUGCAGAAUGGCCACCUGUGCUGCCAUGCAGGAAAUCACCUACGUGCCCUGUCCCCCAGGAAGUCCACCCAUAUUCUGAAGCCCAACACUGGGAGAAGCACCACAGCCACCAUCCCAGCCAAAGCCCCCAGCACCAGUGCCCCAGGCUGGACCCCGUGGGGCCUCCUCUUCCACCCCACCCCAAGGCUGGGUGAUGGGGGAGCGGGUGGCGUGGAGUGUGCACCUCUGCUGUUUUGGUCCUGAAUCUGCGCCUGCCAUGGCCUCAGAAAAGUGGCUUUGCACAAGCCCAGUGGCCAGCGCUCUUUAAGCGGAAGCAGCUUUCAGAUCCAUUUUCUGACUCCUAAGCCAGGGCUUUCUGGAGGAUGUGAUGGGCAAUCUCUGAGGUUAUGCUCCAACCCCGAGCAGUGGGCAUGUGUGUGUGUGCACAUGUGUGUGUGUGCAUGUGAGUUGUCUGUGACUUACCUCCUAGUGACCCCUUAUCAUUUGUCUUCUGUCUAUUCAUCCAUGAAUCUGUCUGCCCACCUGCUGUCUGUCCAUCCAUCUGUACCAGCUUGCAUCUCAAUCAUGAUAAAUGACACUGAAAUGGCACAAGCCUAUGAUCCCAGCUGCUGCAGAGCUGAGGCAGGAAGUUGCAAGUUCAAGGCCGGCCUGGGCAAUUAGUGAGACCUUAUCUCAAAAGAUAAAUACUCAAAAGAGCUGAGGGUGUGGCUCAGUGGUAGAGCGUUUGUCUAGUUUGUGUGAGUCCCUGGGCCCCAAUCCCCAGAAUUUCAAAAAGAACCAGAAAGCUAAGUGUGGUGACACAUGCCCAUAAUCCCAGCACUCAGGAGGCUGAAGUGGGAGGAUCACUGGAAUUCAAGACCAGCUUGGGAUACAAAGUCAAUUCAAGACCAGCCUGAGUUAUAUAUAUAGCAAGAAGAAAAACCCAAGGGUAACAAACCAGUAACCAGAACCCCAAAUAUGCUCAUGAGUAAUUUGUGGCUCUGGCAGCAGCUGACAUGACAUGAAAGGCAGGGCACAGGGGAGCGACAUGCAUGGUGGCCUUGGAAAGUCGACACCAGGACACUCGAAAACACUGCACAGGGCUCAGCAAUAUGCACAGCUUCUGUGAUUUUAUGCAUCAGCUCAAAGUAAUUUAAAAAACCCCUUUGAAUAAAGAUUCUGGACGAUGAAAGGAUUGUUGUGAGGAAAUGGCUAUUUUCCCCUCUUCUACUUCCAUAUUG
ensembl:lincRNA